rnacentral:misc_RNA from 1 species
GCAAAUUCUUGAUGAAGAUGCUCUAUCUUUGGUGGGUUCCUGGCUUUGAGAAUGUUUCUGUCGGUAAAUGGAGGGACAGAAAGUGGCAAGCCUCUAGCUGUUUCGCCCCAUGAGUUCACAAAUUCCAUAGCACCAAUUCCAUCAAACAUACAAUGAUUCAUGCACAAUCCAAGAACAAAUCCACCACAUUUGAACUUGGUCACCUGAGCCACCAGAGGAGG